UACGUAGGGUGCGAGCGUUAAUCGGAAUUACUGGGCGUAAAGUGUGCGCAGGCGGCCGAGCAAGUCGAGUGUGAAAGCCCCGAGCUUAACUUGGGAACUGCGCUCGAAACUACUUGGACUAGAGUGUGGCAGAGGGAGGUGGAAGUUCCAACUGUGUAGCGGGUGAAAUGCGUAGAGAUGUGGAGGAACACCGAUGGCGAAGGCAGCCCCCCUGGGUCAAGAUUGACGCUCAUGCACGAAAGCGUGGGGAGCAAACAGG
rnacentral:rRNA from 1 species